CAAAGAGAAGCAAAGCCGCGAGGUAGAGCAAAUCUCAAAAAAACAAUCUCAGUUCAGACUGCAGGCUGCAACUCGCCUGCACGAAGUCGGAAUUGCUAGUAAUCGUAGGUCAGCAUACUACGGUGAAUACGUUCCCGGGCCUUGUACACACCGCCCGUCAAACCAUGAGAGUUGGCAACACCCGAAGUCGGUAGUCUAACCGCAAGGAGGACGCCGCCGAAGGUGGGGUUGACGAUUAGGGUUAAGUCGUAACAAGGUAAC
rnacentral:rRNA from 1 species